GUUUAUUUCUGUUACGAUGCAAAGCAAAACAUUGAGACGUCUGUGCAGAUGAGGCAAGUGGUUCACAAUCGGUGAAAAACUAAUAUUUAAGUGAUUUGGAAUAGCCUUAUCACAAAAUGAAGCCAAACUUUCGGUGGAAGGAGAGUGGUGGCAGGAAAACAGCUUCACCCAAGAGCAACUCCUCCACAUCAGAACAACUAAGAACUGUACAAACCAUUGCAGCAGAAAGAAUAACAGAAGAUACUGAAUCGGAUAACUUCCUAAUACAAUUACAAUAUGCAUCGAGAGAAAGCUCAGAACAAAAGAAAAGUCAAAUGUGUUCAUGUAGUUCAAAAGUAGUGAAUUCUAGAACUAGAAAUGAAAGCUAUUGGUGGACUCAUAAGUGGAGGGUGAAGUGGAGGCAUGACUGGAGGAUUAGCUUAGGGUUAUUGUUAGUCUUGUGUGUGUUAAGUAGAGUAACUCACGGAGCACUUGAUACUACCUCCAUCAACAGUGGUGACACCCAUGACAGUGAAGACAAUAUAAUGUUUGUAGCAAGAAGACUCAGUAGUGUGACUCAGGCUGAUUACAUAAAUGAUGUAGAUCACGAGCCUGUAGUGAAAGAUAGUGUAAAGGAUAAUUCGGAUAAGCUAAGCAAUAGACCAACACGAGAACCAUGUGGCAGAAGUCGAGGCCAGCAAGUGAAAAUCCAGUAUUCUUCUAGCAUUGUGGAAAAUGAAUACAUCGUAGCAUUUAAAGGAUACUACAGGCAAGAGGCACGUGAACGUUUUAUUGAGGCUGCAUUAAAUGAAUCCAAUGUGGUUCGGUGGGAGGUCCUGCCACGUGAUAAUCCAGCUAGUGACUACCCAAGUGAUUUUGAUGUUGUUCAGAUUCAAGAGCUGCAUAGGAAUGGUGGAUUAGAUGCCCUUAAGGAUCAUCCAGCUGUGAAGAGAGUAACUGCACAACGCAUGGUCAUUCGACACCUUCAUUUUGUUAAUGACACAGAUGAUGAUGCCGCUGAUGUGUGGGAUGAAAUUCUUUUUGCAAAUAUUUCGGAGGUUGAUGAAAGAAUUAUUAUGUAUAAUAUUAGUGGCACAGAUAGUACUGUCAUAGCUGAUGAAUCUGAUGAGGCAGAGGUGGAUGACACAGGUGAAAUAGAGACAGAUGUAGAUUAUGAUAGCUAUUUAUCAGAGAUAAGUUCUAACAAGAUUGAGGUUGAGCAAAAGAAGAAAGAUAGACAAUGUAAUGGAGCUGAAUGUGGCCAAGAAGAUGAAAAGGGCACCUGGCCUGCCUCAAGACCCCUUCGACGUUCAUCUUUAACAUUAGGGACAGCAUUCUGGCAGACGACUGGACGGCACUCUAGCCGCCGCCUCCUACGUACAAUUCCAAGGCAGAUCACAUCCACCUUGCAAGCUGAUGUGCUUUGGAGUAUGGGUAUAACAGGUGCUGGGGUCAGAGUAGCUGUAUUUGACACUGGACUUUCAAAAUCUCACCCUCACUUCAAGCGCAUUAAGGAACGCACUAACUGGACCAAUGAAAAAACUUUAGAUGAUGGGCUGGGUCAUGGCACAUUCGUGGCAGGUGUAAUAGCAUCAAGUGGAAAAACGUGUCUUGGGUUUGCCCCUGAUGCCGAGUUGCACAUCUAUCGUGUCUUUACUAAUAAUCAGGUUUCAUACACAUCUUGGUUCCUGGAUGCCUUCAACUAUGCUAUCUUGAAAAAGGUGGAUGUGCUGAAUCUAAGCAUUGGAGGGCCAGAUUUUAUGGAUCAUCCCUUCGUUGAUAAAGUGUGGGAGUUGACAGCCAACCGAGUCAUUAUGGUUUCAGCUAUUGGGAAUGAUGGACCUUUGUAUGGAACCCUUAACAAUCCAGCGGAUCAGAUGGAUGUGAUUGGGGUUGGUGGCAUAAAUUUUGAAGAUCAAAUAGCACGCUUUUCAUCGAGGGGUAUGACAACUUGGGAGCUCCCUCAGGGGUAUGGUCGUGUCAAACCAGACAUUGUUACAUAUGGCUCUUUAGUGCAGGGCUCAAGCAUGGAAGGGAAGUGUCGGCAGUUGUCUGGCACUUCAGUAGCGUCGCCUGUGGUAGCUGGAGCUGUCACCCUUCUGGCAAGUGGUGUUCUUCAUCGAGGAGGCAUUAUUAACCCUGCCAGUAUGAAGCAAGCAUUGAUGGCCUCUGCUCGUAGGCUACCGGGUGUUAACAUGUUUGAGCAGGGACAUGGCAAACUGGAUCUAGUGAAAGCAUAUCAAGUCCUUUCUAAGUACAAACCACAGGCAUCGUUGAGUCCCAGCUAUAUAGAUCUUACUGAGUGUCAGUAUAUGUGGCCAUACUGUACACAACCACUUUACUAUGGUGCUAUGCCAGUCAUUGUGAACGUCACAAUCCUGAAUGGUAUGGGGGUGUCAGGACGCAUUGUUGAGAAACCGAUAUGGCAUCCUUAUACGCCUCAGUAUGGCCAUCAUCUUGAUAUUGCUUUUACCUAUUCUGAGGUAUUAUGGCCAUGGUCAGGUCAUCUUGCAGUUUGGAUUACCGUUGCAGAGAGUGGCAAGGAGUGGGAAGGUUUUGCUCGGGGUCAUAUUUCUGUUACCAUUGAAUCUCCUCCAGAAGAGGGGGAGACACAGCCAAGGACCUCACAUGUCAAACUUCCUGUUAAAGCCAAGAUGAUACCGACACCACCACGACACAAGCGCGUUCUCUGGGAUCAGUUCCAUAAUCUGCGUUAUCCUCCUGGAUACUUUCCCAGAGACAAUUUACGGAUGACUAAUGAUCCUCUUGACUGGAAUGCUGAUCAUAUUCAUACCAAUUUUAAGGAUAUGUACCAGCACUUGCGCAACAGUGGUUAUUACAUUGAAGUUUUGGGUUCUCCAUUUACUUGUUUUGAUGCCAGCAAAUAUGGAACACUAAUGAUUGUUGACCCUGAAGAAGAAUAUUUUCCAGAGGAAGUGACAAAAUUACGACGAGAUGUAGAGAAAGGAUUAUCUGUAAUAGUUUUUGCUGAUUGGUACAAUGUUAAUGUCAUGAAGAAAGUGAAGUUUUAUGAUGAAAAUACCAAGCAGUUGUGGAUGCCAGUUACAGGUGGAAGCAACAUUCCUGCUCUCAACUACCUGCUGGCCUCCUGGGGAGUGGCACUAAGUGAUGGUGUGUAUGAAGGUGAUUUUACACUUGGUGAUCGUGACAUGUACUACGCCACGGGAACUUCACUUGCACAGUUUCCACGGGAGGGCACUGUUGUUCGUAAGACACUCAGUGAUCAUGCCAAAGAGAUGCUGGAAGCAGAAAGUGAGAGUGUACCAGAUGUCCCAAUCUUAGGUUUGCUCCAGACCAAAGGUAACACUAAUGAAGAAGUAGGUGAUAACAGUCAGCAUCAUUGUGGUCGCUUGGUCGUGUAUGGCGACUCUAAUUGCCUAGACAACAGCCACCUUCAGAAAGAUUGUUUCUGGAUGCUUGAUGCCCUGCUUGAGUUCACCACCACAGGGCACUUGGCAGGGGUAUUUACUUCAAGUGCUGGAUUGCCAGUUCCUCCAACAACAGACUUACCCACCAAGAUGGAAAAUAGCAACUUACAUAAACAUUCAAAGGUUGUUGAGCACACGCUGGGGAUGGAACAAAUGCGACCACUGCCCGAAUGUCCUACAUUACUGCCCGUCACACCACAGCCUCUUAAUGUAUCCAACAAAAAUCUUAACAUCCAUGUGGGUCUGAAGUUGCUGUCUCAACCAGAGAUUGUAGCAGCAGUGAAGGUAGCACCAGUUGAUGUUCAGCCAUUGCCCCUGGACACUCAAGGUGGUAGCCAAGGGGAUGCUGCUGCUGCUGGCUCUUCCAAUGCAGAAAGUGAAGAUGGCACGAUUCACACAAGUUUGUAACAAGUUCAUGGGAGAAUGUUUUUUAAUGUGUAAGAACUUGCCAAGCAUAUGAUGUCUUUAAAAACAGGUGGUGCAUUGGGAACUCUCCCGUACUCAACUGAAAGGAUUCCCGCAUUUGCUGUUCUGUCCGUGCUGAUGGUUGUGCUACUAGUGUGUUAUUGGUACAGGUCACGCCACCGCCCUAAGCGUAGACGCAACAAAU
rnacentral:misc_RNA from 1 species